UGGGGAAUAUUGCACAAUGGGCGCAAGCCUGAUGCAGCCAUGCCGCGUGUAUGAAGAAGGCCUUCGGGUUGUAAAGUACUUUCAGUCGGGAGGAAGGUGUCAAGGUUAAUAACCUUGGCAAUUGACGUUACCGACAGAAGAAGCACCGGCUAACUCCGUGCCAGCAGCCGCGGUAAUACGGAGGGUGCAAGCGUUAAUCGGAAUUACUGGGCGUAAAGCGCACGCAGGCGGUUGAUUGAGUCAGAUGUGAAAUCCCCGGGCUUAACCCGGGAAUUGCAUCUGAUACUGGUCAGCUAGAGUCUUGUAGAGGGGGGUAGAAUUCCAUGUGUAGCGGUGAAAUGCGUAGCGAUGUGGAGGAAUACCGGUGGCGAAGGCGGCCCACUGGACAAAGACUGACGCUCAGGUGCGAAAGCGUGGGGAGCAAACAGG
rnacentral:rRNA from 1 species